UGGUCUUAAAUGAUUUUUCAUUGUUUUUUUUUUUUAAUCUAGAAGGAGGAGAAAAAUGCUGCAAAGGGUUAGACCAUUUAUUAGUUCUGGUAUUCAGUGAGGAAAUAGCAUAAAAGCAUGAAUCCACUAAUAACACAGAGUCAAAUACAGAAGAUUUGGGUCUUAUCAUAUAGAAGAUCCAUUCUGGGAGAUGGUCAUACUAAUUUGCCAAGAACUGUUAGAAUUCCUUAAAUAGUUUUUUUCAACAAUACCAGCUUCCCUAUAUGGUCUCUGAAUACCCCCAGAAACCUGGAAUGGCUGUGACAAGAAAUGCUGGAUUUUCUGGACAUAAGAUACUAUAACUUGUUUUCUUCAGACCAGGGAUAAUAAUAAUGUCCCACCUCCAGCUACUCUUCUACAAGUUAUGAAACGAAUGAACAAAUGAAAAAGUAUUUGUUAAUUUGUUUUCCAUACCAAGGAUAGCAACAAUGUCCCUAAAGGACUUAUAAUUCUGUAGGAUCUUUUGCACAGCAUAGGCAAUAUCAUAAAGCUCACUUCCAACCAUAUUGAGGUCUGUGAUUCUGGAAGUGGAGUCCAGAGGAUCCUCUCCAAGAUAAUGCUUCAGACUGUACAAUAGCCCAGGGCUGCACAGUGAUAGCCUCCAACCAAGUGGGCAAAGGUGGUGGGCUGGCCAGUCAAAUUAAUAGCAGAUGCAUAGAUGACUUUCACAGAGGUGCUAGAGUCCUUCUUGCUCAUGGUACUUCUUUCCUUCAAGGUGCCCAUAUCAAUGGCCAAGGUGAGCUGGUAACCUAUAGUAGAAGUGAUACUGCCUAGCAAAGCCUGAGUGAAUUGGAAGAUAUCAAUGAAAAGAAUGAAGAAUGACUUGUGUACAUCCACCUCCAGAGAAAGAACUGAGAAAUAGAAAUAAGAACGAUGAACUGCUUGAUUUCCAUACAAGCUGGAGAGACCUCCAGGAACUGAUGCAGAGUGAAAUGAGCAGAACCGGAAGAACUUUGUACACAGAGACUGAAACACUGUGGGAUGAUCACAUGUAAUCGAUUUUGCGACUGAGAGCAAUGCAAUGAUCCAGGAUAAUCCAGAGGAAUUUUUGAGAAGGAAGGCUAUCCACAUUGAGAGAAAGGACCAUGGGAAUAGAAAUGCAGAAGGAAAACAU
rnacentral:lncRNA from 1 species